GACGAACGCUGGCGGCGUGCUUAACACAUGCAAGUCGAACGGUAAGGCCCUUCGGGGUACACGAGUGGCGAACGGGUGAGUAACACGUGGGUAAUCUGCCCUGCACUUCGGGAUAAGCCUGGGAAACUGGGUCUAAUACCGGAUAGGACCCUGGGAUGCAUGUCCUGGGGUGGAAAGCUUUUGCGGUGUGGGAUGGGCCCGCGGCCUAUCAGCUUGUUGGUGGGGUGAUGGCCUACCAAGGCGACGACGGGUAGCCGGCCUGAGAGGGUGACCGGCCACACUGGGACUGAGAUACGGCCCAGACUCCUACGGGAGGCUGCAGUGGGGAAUAUUGCACAAUGGGCGCAAGCCUGAUGCAGCGACGCCGCGUGAGGGAUGACGGCCUUCGGGUUGUAAACCUCUUUCAGCACCGACGAAGCGCAAGUGACGGUAGGUGCAGAAGAAGGACCGGCCAACUACGUGCCAGCAGCCGCGGUAA
rnacentral:rRNA from 1 species